AGGUAUUGGGACUACUGCUGCCUUCCCAUCCUCAAGGGCCAGUGGGAACUCUAAUAUUGAUUGGGUGAGAUACAAUUCCACGAAAUUUUACCACUGAACCAGUGAAGGGCUAAUUUUGUCAUUUGUACCAGUUAACUAAUUUGGGAGGAAACAGAACAACACACUCCUGAGAUUGGUUGUCACAGAAUUCCGUGGACUUUAACCAGUGAUGCGCUGAUUUUGUCAUUUGUACCAGCUAACUCAUCUGGGAGGCAACAAAACAAUAUUCUCCUGAGGUUAAUGUGGACGAAGAACUAGAUUUCAUGUAAAAAGAGUUUAUUCCUUCUAUUUGAGGUGUGACAUGAAGGAAAG
rnacentral:lncRNA from 1 species